CCUUGACUAUACUGUAAGUCGCUCUGGAUAAGAGCGUCUGCUAAAGGACUAAAA
rfam:Salmo salar isolate Sally breed double haploid chromosome ssa01, whole genome shotgun sequence.